rnacentral:sRNA from 1 species
AUACAUCUAGAUCCAUACCCCUAAACUCCCUAGAUGUCUUGAGUGGUACGUAUAUAAAAAUACGGUAUCACUCUUUUUUA